GUCAUGAAGACACAGAGGAUUCGUUUGGAGAGUUAUCAUCAAUUCUGCUGCGCACCUAAAUACAUGGCAAUUAAAAUGAGCUGCUCGGCCAAUCUAACCCAGUCGGCAGAUUGACAUGAUCUGACAAGCUGAUAUCCUGUAUCUGGGUCAGUUGUAGAGUUCUUCCUACAUACUGUUUUAUCAGGGAGUUAGAGUAAAGAGGGGGAGCCCGAGUGGAAGCUUUGAGGAGCACAGGGCAGAAACAGAGAGCGAUAUUAUCAGGGAGAGCUUCCCCACGUUGGCUUCCUCUUUGGAAGAUGUCUGGCCUCUCUCUCCCCUCUGGUAAGAAAAACACAAUGAUUAAAGUGGGAAAAGAAGGGCAGAUCUUGCCCAGGAUCUACCCGACAGCAACCUCUGACAGCAACCUCUGACAGCAACCUGUCAGGUGUCUUUGAGAGGAUCCAAUUAUUUCCCGUGCAGAUAAAAUGAUGAUGAAUUGCAGUGUUGCAGCGUUGUGACUGGCAGCCCUGGGUCCAUUUAACUGGGGGAGGAAAGGAAAAGGGAGGAAAGGAAAAGGGAGGAAAGGAAAAGGGAGGAAAGGAUGGGUCAUCUAAUGAGAUGAGGGAACAGAGGGGAAACAGCUGUAGGGUAGUGCUUUAUAUAGGGCAGAGGGAGAGAGAGGGAGAGGUGGGGAGAGAGACAGAAGGAGAAAGGGAGAUAACGAGAAAGAGAACAACAGAGAGGAAGAGGAAAUUAUAGAGCGAGAGAAAGAGAUGGAGAACAACAGAGAGAAGGAGAGAGGGAGAGAGAAGGGGUUUAUGUGACUCGUGCUCCAUGCUCUGGUGGCAGUGCAGCUGCUGAUACUGCCGUGUGCUAACUCCAUGCAGGGUAGUAGAAUGGUGUCAGAGUUUCCCUGCAGAGCAGUCCCCAUCCCCCCUCCACCACCACCAUGGACCCAGGGCUGGAGAGAAAAGGUUGAGCCACUUAACUGUAAACUGCCUAAUGCCUGCUGCUUGGUGCUGUGUUUCCGCCAUGCCUCAGAGCCCAUCGGUUGGGAGAACAAAACACACGCAGACCACACAGGGUUUCAUUCAGCUGUUAAACAGGAAGUGGUUUGGUUGACGUUAGAUUUCCUGUUUUUAUUGCAACACGGGUGAAAAAAGCGGAGCAAAUUUGACUGGUUACAACGUCCUUAUUUGACAUUGCUCUGAGAAGGAUUGGAAGACCACUAUGCUUGUUAUGAGGAUGUAUUUUAUCUGUGUAGUACUGACACAACACAGUCUGACCAGAUCACAGAUCAGAGAAGAAUAGAGACACAACACAGUCUGACCAGGUCACAGAUUAGAGAAGAAUAGAGACACAACACAGUCUGACCAGGUCACAGAUUAGAGAAGAAUAGAGACACAACACAGUCUGACCAGGUCACAGAUCAGAGAAGAAUAGAGACACAACACAGUCUGACCAGGUCACAGAUUAGAGAAGAAUAGAGACACAACACAGUCUGACCAGGUCACAGAUCAGAGAAGAAUAGAGACACAACACAGUCUGACCAGGUCACAGAUUAGAGAAGAAUAGAGACACAACACAGUCUGACCAGGUCACAGAUCAGAGAAGAAUAGAGACACAACACAGUCUGACCAGGUCACAGAUUAGAGAAGAAUAGAGACACAACACAGUCUGACCAGGUCACAGAUCAGAGAAGAAUAGAGACACAACACAGUCUGACCAGGUCACAGAUUAGAGAAGAAUAGAGACACAACACAGUCUGACCAGGUCACAGAUUAGAGAAGAAUAGAGACACAACACAGUCUGACCAGGUCACAGAUUAGAGAAGAAUAGAGACACAACACAGUCUGACCAGGUCACAGAUCAGAGAAGAAUAGAGACACAACACAGUCUGACCAGGUCACAGAUUAGAGAAGAAUAGAGACACAACACAGUCUGACCAGGUCACAGAUUAGAGAAGAAUAGAGACACAACACAGUCUGACCAGGUCACAGAUCAGAGAAGAAUAGAGACACAACACAGUCUGACCAGGUCACAGAUCAGAGAAGAAUAGAGACACAACACAGUCUGACCAGGUCACAGAUCAGAGAAGAAUAGAGACACAACACAGUCUGACCAGGUCACAGAUUAGAGAAGAAUAGAGACACAACACAGUCUGACCAGGUCACAGAUUAGAGAAGAAUAGAGACACAACACAGUCUGACCAGGUCACAGAUUAGAGAAGAAUAGAGACACAACACAGUCUGACCAGGUCACAGAUCAGAGAAGAAUAGAGACACAACACAGUCUGACCAGGUCACAGAUUAGAGAAGAAUAGAGACACAACACAGUCUGACCAGGUCACAGAUUAGAGAAGAAUAGAGACACAACACAGUCUGACCAGGUCACAGAUUAGAGAAGAAUAGAGACACAACACAGUCUGACCAGGUCACAGAUCAGAGAAGAAUAGAGACACAACACAGUCUGACCAGGUCACAGAUUAGAGAAGAAUAGAGACACAACACAGUCUGACCAGGUCACAGAUUAGAGAAGAAUAGAGACACAACACAGUCUGACCAGGUCACAGAUCAGAGAAGAAUAGAGACACAACACAGUCUGACCAGGUCACAGAUCAGAGAAGAAUAGAGACACAACACAGUCUGACCAGGUCACAGAUUAGAGAAGAAUAGAGACACAACACAGUCUGACCAGGUCACAGAUCAGAGAAGAAUAGAGACACAACACAGUCUGACCAGGUCACAGAUCAGAGAAGAAUAGAGACACAACACAGUCUGACCAGGUCACAGAUCAGAGAAGAAUAGAGACACAACACAGUCUGACCAGGUCACAGAUCAGAGAAGAAUAGAGACACAACACAGUCUGACCAGGUCACAGAUUAGAGAAGAAUAGAGACACAACACAGUCUGACCAGGUCACAGAUCAGAGAAGAAUAGAGACACAACACAGUCUGACCAGGUCACAGAUCAGAGAAGAAUAGAGACACAACACAGUCUGACCAGGUCAGAGAUUAGAGAAGAAUAGAGACACAACACAGUCUGACCAGGUCAGAGAUUAGAGAAGAAUAGA